GCCGGUGUAGCUCAGCGGUAGAGCAGGGGACUCAUAAGCCCUUGGUCGCCCGUUCGAAUCGGGCCUCCGGCA
rnacentral:tRNA from 1 species